rnacentral:lncRNA from 1 species
AUCACAAUGAAGAAAAUAGAGUGGAUAUUGGAAAGUAGUAAAAUGGACAUUAAAGCAACCCUGAGAUAUAGAGCUGUGAAGGCAAGCCAAAGCAAAGAGUGACCUUCAUGUAGCUGCUGCUCUUCAAAGUGCCUGGGUAACGCAGGGGAUGACUUCCAGCAUCCCUCUGAUAGAUGGCUCAGCUAUGGGGAAUGCUGUCAUAGCAGAGAGGAAGGAGUGAGCUGAAUGAUAAAAUAUUCAAAAUGCCACAGAUAAUUGAAUAGGCAAAAGUUCUUACCUGGAGGAUCUCCUGCUUUGUAGAGCAGGCUGAGAAGCAGUUGUGCUAGGAGUGUGAUCGUGCAUCAUGUCCAGCGUGCCUGUGGGUCUCUUCUACUGCUGGCUGAAGGUUCAACCCUUUGGAUAAAGGAAACAUGGCUUUAAAACUGAGGAUCCUGAACCUUUCUGGAGUGGAUUUACAGCAGAAGUAACGGACAGACCCUUCUGCCCAUCCUCUUGGGGUUGGCACCCAGCAGCAGUGUUGCUCCUCUCAGGGGUUCACACAGCUCAGAGGCAUUGGUGAAUACUCUGCUAUCAACAAUCAAGUGUCUGGAUUUGAACAACCGAAAAUUCAGGGAAACUUCUUAUAGCAAACAGCAAGUGCUUGAGAAGCAUGCAUUCCUGGCUUGUGUCAGCACCAGUGCGGCCAGCAGGAGCAGGAGGGAAUUGUCCCUCUGCAGUCAGCACUGAUUCUAUGACUCUGUGAAAAGCAGAGGCUCAGGUGAUAAUGUGCCUCCUGAUGCUGGAGCUCUGAGGAAGAAAACCAACCAUCUCUAUCCUAGGAGCACCCAGCUACAUGAGCACACAUGGAGUGGUUCUAAUGCCUCUAAAGUUAAGCUUAGAUUAAUUACUAAUCUGAAUCACAUCAAUGUUUUCUGUACUGACUCUCUGGUUCAAAGGGAAGGAGAUGUUUUCCAUCAGACAUCUGUACGUGAUUUCUUUCCACCCUGAAGACAUAAAGAUGUGUAGAGGACCAUUAAUAGGAAUGGAUGUGCUUGAGGAGAAGGAACAAGCAGCUGGAGAAGGAGAUGUGAACAGACUGACCUGCUUCAGACUUGUCAUCAGAUCCUGGGAAGCCACCCUUCAGAUUGCUGUGCUACACACUGAUGAGUCAAUCUGUUGCAUUGGAUGUCUUCAGAGAAGGACGGAAAUAAUGAUCCUACUGUCCUGGGAAGAGCUGGAGAGGAAAUGUCAGCCAACGGCAUAUGCAAGGUAUGGAGCAUGUGGGCACUGCAGCCACGUAGGGAUCAGAUGA